CCCCCAAUAGCUCAGCUGGACAGAGCAUUGGACUUCUAAUCCAACGGUCGUAGGUUCGAAUCCUACUUGGGGGACCA
rnacentral:tRNA from 1 species